GACGAACGCUGGCGGGCGUGCCUAAAUACAUGCAAGUAGAACGCUGAAGAGAGGGAGCUUGCUCUUCUUGGAUGAGUUGCGAACGGGUGAGUAAACGCGUAGGUAACCUGCCUGGUAGCGGGGGAUAACUAUUGGAAACGAUAGCUAAUACCGCAUGAUAUUAAUUGUCGCAUGAUAAUUAAUUGAAAGAUGCAAUUGCAUCACUACCAGAUGGACCUGCGUUGUAUUAGCUAGUUGGUGAGGUAACGGCUCACCAAGGCGACGAUACAUAGCCGACCUGAGAGGGUGAUCGGCCACACUGGGACUGAGACACGGCCCAGACUCCUACGGGAGGCAGCAGUAGGGAAUCUUCGGCAAUGGGGGGAACCCUGACCGAGCAACGCCGCGUGAGUGAAGGAGGUUUUCGGAUCGUAAAGCUCUGUUGUAAGAGAAGAACGGGUGUGAGAGUGGAAAGUUCACACUGUGACGGUAUCUUACCAGAAAGGGACGGCUAACUACGUGCCAGCAGCCGCGGUAAUACGUAGGUCCCGAGCGUUGUCCGGAUUUAUUGGGCGUAAAGCGAGCGCAGGCGGUUCUUUAAGUCUGAAGUUAAAGGCAGUGGCUUAACCAUUGUACGCUUUGGAAACUGGAGGACUUGAGUGCAGAAGGGGAGAGUGGAAUUCCAUGUGUAGCGGUGAAAUGCGUAGAUAUAUGGAGGAACACCGGUGGCGAAAGCGGCUCUCUGGUCUGUAACUGACGCUGAGGCUCGAAAGCGUGGGGAGCAAACAGG
rnacentral:rRNA from 1 species